GACUCAAAAGUUGGUUAACUGUGCUUGCGAAGGUUGAAGCCAGACGAAACUCUGGUGGAGGACCAUAGUGAUUCUGAGAUGCGAAUCCAUAGUAUAAACAUCAUUAUAGGGGCGAAAGAAUAAUCGAACCAUCUAGUAGCUGG
rnacentral:ncRNA from 1 species